CACGAUGAGUUCCCCGACGAGCAUGCCGCCUAUGUCGUCUUUACAAGCCAGCCCGAAGGCCGGCGCAGCAGACGCCGAGAGCACCAGGAAGUCAACGUGGUCGCUACCAACCCCGCCGAGCACAUGCACUGGUCAGAAAAGCCUAUCAGCUGGAGCCGGGCCGACCACCCGGAGGUGAUGCCAUCUCCCGCCUCUUAUGCAUUGGUUUUGGAUGCCACCCUUGCAACGGACAGACACACCGCCCGUUUCUCCCACGUGCUGAUAGACGGCGGGAGCAGCAUCAACAUCCUGUACCGUGACACCCUGGAGAAGCUGAACGUCAAGACGAAGCAACUCAUGCCUACUCGGACUGUGUUCCAUGGCAUUGUACCUGGCCUGUCC
rnacentral:rRNA from 1 species